UAGGUAACAAGCUCUAUGCUCUUUCCUUUCUUCUUUUUCAUUUUCAUCCACCCUUCCUAAGAACUUGAAAUAUACGCAAUCUUAUUUAAAAUUUGUUUUGGCCAAAUUGAGAUUAAAUCAGUCUUUCAUAAGUACUGUUUGGAUUUUGGAAAAUGAAUCAAGCAUUUAUCUGUGUUUUUCAGUUUUCAAUUUCGCCACCAACGUUCAUGACGUCGCAGAACUAUCAAAAGAAUCAUUUGAUGCAUGCGACUUUUCCAGUACCAUUGGAAGUAUCAUCACAACUGGUCCAGCCAACAUCACUCUCGCCACCGCCGGCAACCACUACUACGUCUGCACCAUUGGCAGCCACUGCACCUCCGGCCAGAAGCUAGCCAUCUCAGUAUCAGCCACUCCCGGCGCCUCCCCUCCUUCUUCAUCUACUGCAACCCCACCACCAACCACACAGGGUGGUGAUUCUUCAUCAUCAACUGUUUUUGCUAGUGUGUUUGUCUCCUUGGUGUCUCUUGUCAUCAGUUUCUUUCUUUAGGUAGCAGAGAAGAUUCAUAUUGGACGACAUUUUUUUGUGGGGUGUUCUUCAAUAAGUUUGAGAUUGAUUUUUAUGUUGUUGAGUUUUGUGUGACAACAUUUAUGUAUUGUUUUUUAGCAUAUGAUCAAUAAAAUUAUGCUGGUUUAGCUUAAUUUCGUUGUACUUUCUAUUGUUACACUUCCAUUUUCUCAUCAAUGACUUGGACAACCUUAAAAUUAAGGAGAUGAAGUCUUUCUUUCAGCUAUAUAGAAAGAGAUUUACUAAGAAAUAAAUAAAUAAAAGAACUUAAACUUAAGUCUUUCUUUUCUUUUCAAAUUAAAGAUAAUCAUUUUAAGGUUAAGGGAAGGAGUCCAAAGAAGGAUAUUGUAAAGGGGAUAACCAAGUUAAGCACAUAAGUCUUAGAUAAAAAGAACUAGACAAAAUAGAUCUUAAGAGUACAAAAGGGGAUGCUAAACAAGGAUGUAUGCAUAUGUAUAAGAGGAUAAAGUGAGAAAACUAGGAGAUUACCUACCUUGUGCCAUUUUUCUAAAUUCUAGAAAAUGGAUCACUUGAGUAGCUUAUGUAAUGAGAGAAUUAUAUUGAGUUACUUUGCCUUCAUGAAUUGCAUUAAAAAAUAUUUUAUUCUCUUAUUCUUUUUCUAUGGAUUAGCACAGUGUAGGUUAAAGGGGGUGAUUGGAUCCUAAAUAUGUGCUUUUAAGGCUCAUAGUGACAUAAUUUAUAUGGACUUAAAGCUCAAAUCAUUCAACUUAACUCAAAUGAGAGGUUUAAGCCUGUGAGGGUGACAAACCAAAAGUAAUAGAACCAAGACACAAGCAAGAGAGAGAAGCAAAGCACCUUUUUGGAGGAGAUGAAGAGUCAUCUAAUCAAGUUAAGACAUAAGAUGUUAAGACAAACUAAGGAAGGGAGAAUUGAUACAAAAUUUACCUUGGAAGAUGAAAGGAGUACUUUACUAUUUCUCAUAUACAACUAUAUUUUUUGAAUUUUGUUACUAGGUAAAUAACUUAUAAAUUAAGUAAGAGAUAAUUAGUAAUUUAAAUUAUUUAAUAAAUCUUUUAAUUUUUAAAAAUAAUUUGGAAUUCAAAAAACUAAUCCAAUUAAUUGCCCAUCAAAUCAAACCAUUCUAGAAUAUUUUAUUCAAAAUUGAGUACUAAAUGUGUGCCUGUAAUAAAAAAAUUUGUCUCAUUUAUAUGUUAAAAAAUUGUUAAACUUGGUUCAUUAUUCAUUUUAAAUAAAAUGUUAUUAACAAUUAUUAUUUUUAAGUUAUUAUUAUUCAUUAUAAAAGGAAAUUAAGAAUAUGUUAUUAUCCUUAUGUUUCUAACAUAUACUAGUAUAUUUUUAUUAAAAAAAUACAAUUUAUGAUUUUAUUAAUUAUAAUAUUAUUAUUUAUGUUUUAGUAAAAUCUAUUUAUUUUAAUUUAUUAAUUUGUAAUUGCAAAACUAUUUUCAUUUUUAAUGAGACUUGCAUUAAAUUUAACUAAUAUUAUAUAGAUUGGAUUUACAAUACUUUUACAAAAGCAAAACAAAAAAUUAUUUUUAAAAUAAGUUUUUAGUUUUUUAUUUUUAAAAACUAUUGUUGAAAACAACUUUUCAAACACCCUUAUUUUUAUAAAACAUCAAAAUCUGUUUUUGUUUCUUCAACUUAAAAAUAUAUUUUAAAAACAAGUAUUAAAAAACAUGGCCCUAAAUGAUUUUUGAAACCAACUUUUAUUUAUAGUAAUUGAUUUUUUAAACAAGUAUUAAAAAACAUGCAUGGCUAAACAUGGCUAAUCACUCGUUAUGAACGAGAUGCCUUUUACUGUUUAGCAUUAAAAUAAUAUCUUAUAUACAUAUAUUUUUAUAAAUUAAGAAACUACUUUCUAGCAAGUCAUUUUGAACUCCAAAUUAAAUCAAAACCUAAUUAUAAAUCACCAAAUAGUAACUGGUGUAUGAUUUGCCUCUAGCUACUUCUACAUUUGUCUUUCAAAUCAUUUGAAGCCUGUCCUAUCGCCAUGGACUUGGCCCUUGGAGGCCUACGUCAGCCAAGUCAAGAUCAAUUGAGUGGUUUGCGUGGAAGCUGAGUCGCAGGCCAAUGUAGCAAAAGUCCACAAAAACAUACAAAGAAUGGUCUACAUUGUGACUUUUCCAGUUUCGCAUUGGCCUUGUGUGAAUAUAAAACAAUGACCGGCACCGAAACUCACCGUCUAAGGGAGUUGAAAGCAGACCCAGUCUCCAUUAUCAAAGCCAAAUAAGCCUCCAAGUCCUCGCAUCUAUGCCCUCUCAUACCCUUUUUUUCCUAUAAAUAACACUGCCCUCAAACACAUUUUCAUCCAUCCCCUUUUCAGCAGAUACUUUUCUUGUAAUUAACUGCUUUCCAACCAUCAGCUCCUACACGUUUUAGAAAGAAAGAUGGCUAGGCUCAUGUCCAUGGCUGUUAUAGUUGUUGUUCUGGCAGCUAUGCUGCAUUAUUCAGCAGCCCAGACGGUGCAUGUGGUGGGAGACAACACUGGGUGGACGGUACCACAAGGUGGAGCAGCCACAUACACCUCCUGGGCUUCUGGUAGGCAGUUCGUUGUUGGUGAUACUCUAGGUAAUAAGCUCUAUGCCCUUUCCUUUCUUCUUUUUCAUUUUCAUGUACUUUUCCUAAGAACUUCAAAUAUACGCACUCUUAUUUAAAAUUUGUUUUGGCCAAAAUGAGAUUAAAUCAGUCUUUCAUAAGUACUGUUUGGAUUUUGGGAAAUGAAUUAACUACUUAUCUGUGUUUUUCAGUUUUCAAUUUCGCCACCAACGUUCAUGACGUAGCAGAACUAUCAAAAGAAUCAUUUGAUGCAUGCGACUUUUCCAGUACCAUCGGAAACAUUAUCACAACUGGUCCAGCCAACAUCACUCUCGCCACCGCGGGCAACCACUACUACGUCUGCACCAUUGGCAGCCACUGCACCUCCGGCCAGAAGCUAGCCAUCUCAGUAUCAGCCACUCCCGGCGCCUCCCCUCCUUCUUCAUCUACUGCACCCCCACCACCAACCACCACCAACACACCUCCAUCAACACCAUCUCCAACUGCUGAAGUUUGCCCUCCAACCACAGCACCGAGUCCUAAGAUGAACACUCCCUCUCCUACAACUGCAACUCCACCAUCCUCACAGGGCGGUGAUUCUUCAUCAUCAACUGUUUUUG
rnacentral:lncRNA from 1 species